GUCAUCUUGUCCAAUCCCCCAUCUGUAAGACGAAAGAACUGAGACACAGAGUUUAAGUGACUUACCCAGCUUCAUUCAGGUAAUAAGCAGCAGAGGCAGGAUUCAAAUCUGAGUCCUUACAACUCUACAAGUAUUAUUAUUGUUCGAGACAGCAAGACAGCAUAACAGAGAGUCUCAGACUUGCAGUCAGGAAGACCCGAGUUCAAAUCCUUCCUCAGACAUAACUUCUAGCUGUGUGUAUAAUGAAGAGACUCUCGGACUUAGAGUCAGGAAGUUCAAAUUUUAACUCAGAUGUACUUACUGCUAUGGGUGAUCCCAGACAGGAUACAAGCUUUCUCAGCCUCAGUUUCUUCUUUGAUAAAACAAAAAUAGCAUCUACAUCACACGGUUGUUGAGAGGGAAUAACAUAUAUAAAUUGCUUUGUAAAUUGUAAAGUGUUAUAGAAAUGCUAGCUAUAUAUUUAUUCUCUUUUUACUUUUGUUUUUCACAACAUGGCUAAUGUGGAUGUUUUAUGUGAUUAUGUAUAUAAAGUGAGUAUUUUAUUUCUUGAUUCUCAAUGGUUGGUGGAGAGGGUGGAAGGAGGGAGAGAAUUUGGAACUGAAAAUAAAAUUUAAUUGAUUUUAAAAAUUGAAAAAAAGAAAUGCUGGCUAUUAUUAGCUAUCUCCAUUUUAUAGACAAGGAACUGAGCCUCAUAGAGGCAAAAUGACUUGGUGAAAUAACUAGUAAGUGUUGGGGCCAGGAUUUGAAAUGAAGCAUCUCCUGCCUGGGCUCUUGCUUUUCCCAUGACACCAUUCUGCCUCUCAUACUGCAAGGAGGUGUUGCGAGAGCAGAUGGACCCUCCUGAGCCACCCUCAGAGCCAUAUGAAACACCAGAGACUAAACAGCGAGGGCCAGCAAACACUCAGGAAGAUUUUGCUGAGUCGCAUAGAAUUGACAGCAGUACAGGAGGUCUUCAGUAUCCUGGGCACCUUUGAACACCGAAGACCCUGCAUGGUCGAGGUAUCUAGAAUGAGAAUGGAAUGAGACAAAAGGGAAACAGAGUCUCCUGAUGUAACUGCCAAUUGAGCAUUGCAGCCUGC
rnacentral:lncRNA from 1 species